rnacentral:rRNA from 1 species
UACGUAGGUGGCAAGCGUUGUCCGGAAUUACUGGGUGUAAAGGGAGCGCAGGCGGGACAGCAAGUCAGCGGUGAAAUACAUGGGCUUAACCCAUGAACUGCCGUUGAAACUGCCGUUCUUGAGUGGAUCAGAGGCAAGCGGAAUUCCGAGUGUAGCGGUGAAAUGCGUAGAUAUUCGGAGGAACACCAGUGGCGAAGGCGGCUUGCUGGGGUCUAACUGACGCUGAGGCUCGAAAGUGUGGGGAGCAAACAGGAUUAGAUA